rnacentral:rRNA from 1 species
GGUUAAGCGACUAAGCGUACACGGUGGAUGCCCUGGCAGUCAGAGGCGAUGAAGGACGUGCUAAUCUGCGAUAAGCGUCGGUAAGGUGAUAUGAACCGUUAUAACCGGCGAUUUCCGAAUGGGGAAACCCAGUGUGUUUCGACACACUAUCAUUAACUGAAUCCAUAGGUUAAUGAGGCGAACCGGGGGAACUGAAACAUCUAAGUACCCCGAGGAAAAGAAAUCAACCGAGAUUCCCCCAGUAGCGGCGAGCGAACGGGGAGCAGCCCAGAGCCUGAAUCAGUGUGUGUGUUAGUGGAAGCGUCUGGAAAGGCGCGCGAUACAGGGUGACAGCCCCGUACACAAAAAUGCACAUGCUGUGAGCUCGAUGAGUAGGGCGGGACACGUGGUAUCCUGUCUGAAUAUGGGGGGACCAUCCUCCAAGGCUAAAUACUCCUGACUGACCGAUAGUGAACCAGUACCGUGAGGGAAAGGCGAAAAGAACCCCGGCGAGGGGAGUGAAAAAGAACCUGAAACCGUGUACGUACAAGCAGUGGGAGCACGCUUCGGCGUGUGACUGCGUACCUUUUGUAUAAUGGGUCAGCGACUUAUAUUCUGUAGCAAGGUUAACCGAAUAGGGGAGCCGAAGGGAAACCGAGUCUUAACUGGGCGUUAAGUUGCAGGGUAUAGACCCGAAACCCGGUGAUCUAGCCAUGGGCAGGUUGAAGGUUGGGUAACACUAACUGGAGGACCGAACCGACUAAUGUUGAAAAAUUAGCGGAUGACUUGUGGCUGGGGGUGAAAGGCCAAUCAAACCGGGAGAUAGCUGGUUCUCCCCGAAAGCUAUUUAGGUAGCGCCUCGUGAAUUCAUCUCCGGGGGUAGAGCACUGUUUCGGCAAGGGGGUCAUCCCGACUUACCAACCCGAUGCAAACUGCGAAUACCGGAGAAUGUUAUCACGGGAGACACACGGCGGGUGCUAACGUCCGUCGUGAAGAGGGAAACAACCCAGACCGCCAGCUAAGGUCCCAAAGUCAUGGUUAAGUGGGAAACGAUGUGGGAAGGCCCAGACAGCCAGGAUGUUGGCUUAGAAGCAGCCAUCAUUUAAAGAAAGCGUAAUAGCUCACUGGUCGAGUCGGCCUGCGCGGAAGAUGUAACGGGGCUAAACCAUGCACCGAAGCUGCGGCAGCGACGCUUAUGCGUUGUUGGGUAGGGGAGCGUUCUGUAAGCCUGUGAAGGUGUGCUGUGAGGCAUGCUGGAGGUAUCAGAAGUGCGAAUGCUGACAUAAGUAACGAUAAAGCGGGUGAAAAGCCCGCUCGCCGGAAGACCAAGGGUUCCUGUCCAACGUUAAUCGGGGCAGGGUGAGUCGACCCCUAAGGCGAGGCCGAAAGGCGUAGUCGAUGGGAAACAGGUUAAUAUUCCUGUACUUGGUGUUACUGCGAAGGGGGGACGGAGAAGGCUAUGUUGGCCGGGCGACGGUUGUCCCGGUUUAAGCGUGUAGGCUGGUUUUCCAGGCAAAUCCGGAAAAUCAAGGCUGAGGCGUGAUGACGAGGCACUACGGUGCUGAAGCAACAAAUGCCCUGCUUCCAGGAAAAGCCUCUAAGCAUCAGGUAACAUCAAAUCGUACCCCAAACCGACACAGGUGGUCAGGUAGAGAAUACCAAGGCGCUUGAGAGAACUCGGGUGAAGGAACUAGGCAAAAUGGUGCCGUAACUUCGGGAGAAGGCACGCUGAUAUGUAGGUGAAGCGACUUGCUCGUGGAGCUGAAAUCAGUCGAAGAUACCAGCUGGCUGCAACUGUUUAUUAAAAACACAGCACUGUGCAAACACGAAAGUGGACGUAUACGGUGUGACGCCUGCCCGGUGCCGGAAGGUUAAUUGAUGGGGUCAGCGCAAGCGAAGCUCUUGAUCGAAGCCCCGGUAAACGGCGGCCGUAACUAUAACGGUCCUAAGGUAGCGAAAUUCCUUGUCGGGUAAGUUCCGACCUGCACGAAUGGCGUAAUGAUGGCCAGGCUGUCUCCACCCGAGACUCAGUGAAAUUGAACUCGCUGUGAAGAUGCAGUGUACCCGCGGCAAGACGGAAAGACCCCGUGAACCUUUACUAUAGCUUGACACUGAACAUUGAGCCUUGAUGUGUAGGAUAGGUGGGAGGCUUUGAAGUGUGGACGCCAGUCUGCAUGGAGCCGACCUUGAAAUACCACCCUUUAAUGUUUGAUGUUCUAACGUUGACCCGUAAUCCGGGUUGCGGACAGUGUCUGGUGGGUAGUUUGACUGGGGCGGUCUCCUCCUAAAGAGUAACGGAGGAGCACGAAGGUUGGCUAAUCCUGGUCGGACAUCAGGAGGUUAGUGCAAUGGCAUAAGCCAGCUUGACUGCGAGCGUGACGGCGCGAGCAGGUGCGAAAGCAGGUCAUAGUGAUCCGGUGGUUCUGAAUGGAAGGGCCAUCGCUCAACGGAUAAAAGGUACUCCGGGGAUAACAGGCUGAUACCGCCCAAGAGUUCAUAUCGACGGCGGUGUUUGGCACCUCGAUGUCGGCUCAUCACAUCCUGGGGCUGAAGUAGGUCCCAAGGGUAUGGCUGUUCGCCAUUUAAAGUGGUACGCGAGCUGGGUUUAGAACGUCGUGAGACAGUUCGGUCCCUAUCUGCCGUGGGCGCUGGAGAACUGAGGGGGGCUGCUCCUAGUACGAGAGGACCGGAGUGGACGCAUCACUGGUGUUCGGGUUGUCAUGCCAAUGGCACUGCCCGGUAGCUAAAUGCGGAAGAGAUAAGUGCUGAAAGCAUCUAAGCACGAAACUUGCCCCGAGAUGAGUUCUCCCUGACUCCUUGAGAGUCCUGAAGGAACGUUGAAGACGACGACGUUGAUAGGCCGGGUGUGUAAGCGCAGCGAUGCGUUGAGCUAACCGGUACUAAUGAACCGUGAGG